AGUUGAAGUGAAGACUGGUGUAGCCUGGUCAGCAGACAGUAAGAGCUUUUUCUUUUUGGGCUGGAGGGGUGCUGGGUCAUCCCCUAAAUCUGUUGAUUUAGCGCUGGAGUCUUGGAAGACUAUGAGGUUGCCAACAGAAAGGGGGGGGGACCUGCACCACCACCUCUGACAAAUGCAGAGGAGAUGGCCCUGAGCCUUAAUGCGGGAAGGCCAAUGGCUGAGGGAGUUCCUGGAGGGACUUCAGAGCCAGUCACUCCAGAAGAUUUAAGUGCCUUCAUAAAAUAUUGGGAUGGUAAUAUCUGUCUCUUGGAGCCUCCUGUCCCAACAGAACCCCAGGCAGUUAGUGUGGACGGCAGGAGGAAGGCCCAUCAACUUCUGGUGCACAGAUGAACACAGUUCAAUGAUUUACAGUAAAUGCCACACUUUAAUUUCUGUAUUUUAGAACUACAUGAUGUAACUCUAAUCUACUAUUAAUUAAAAAUUUCAGUUGCCAGUUAAGGAGUUAUAGACUUCUUAUUAAAAAGAUAAGCAGAAAAAAACAGCAAAGAACUUGUAUACUUGGACCGCCAGAUCCAAAAGGCAGAUCUGGAAAUCGAGAU